rnacentral:rRNA from 1 species
GACAGAGGAGCCAAGCGUUGUCCGGAUUGACUGGGCGUAAAGCGCACGCAGGCGGCCCGGCGCGUGGGGGUGUGAAAGCUGGCGGCUUAACUGCCAGACGCCAUCCCAUACGGCUGGGCUCGAGCCCUGCAGAGGUCCAUGGAAUUGCCGGUGUAGUGGUGAAAUGCGUAGAGAUCGGGAGGAACAUCAGUGGCGAAGGCGGCCAUCUGGGACAACACUGACGCUGAGGCACGAAAGCGUGGGGAGCAAACAGG